CGGCUGUGUGGUUUGGCCAGGCGGGUGUCUGGCGGGUGCCGGGCUCCGGGCCGCUGUGAGCAGAGGGUGCGGCGGGUGGACGGGAGCGGACAUCAUGUUCCGAGCGGCAGCCUCUGGGCAGCUCCGGCGGGCGGCCUCAUUGCUACGAUUUCAGAGUACCCUGGUAAUAGCUGAGCAUGCAAAUGAUACCCUAGCACCCAUUACAUUAAACACCAUCACUGCAGCCAAACGUCUUGGAGGUGAAGUAUCCUGCUUAGUAGCUGGAACCAAAUGUGACAAGGUGGCACAGGAUCUUUGCAAAGUAGCAGGUGUAGCAAAAGUUCUGGUGGCCGAGCAUGAUGCCUACAAAGGCUUCCUUCCAGAGGAACUGACGCCAUUGAUUCUAGCAACUCAGAAGCAGUUCAGUUACACACACAUCUGUGCUGGAGCAUCUGCCUUUGGAAAGAACCUUUUGCCCAGAGUAGCAGCCAAACUUGAUGUUGCCCCAAUUUCUGACAUCAUUGCGAUCAAGUCACCUGACACAUUUGUGAGAACCAUUUAUGCAGGAAAUGCUUUAUGUACAGUGAAGUGUGAUGAGAAAGUGAAGGUGUUUUCUGUCCGAGGAACAUCUUUUGAAGCUGCAGCAACAAGUGGAGGUAGUGCCAGUUCAGAAAAGGCAUCAAGUACUUCACCAGUGGGGAUAUCAGAAUGGCUUGAUCAGAAAUUAACAAAAAGUGAUCGACCUGAGCUAACUGGUGCCAAAGUGGUGAUAUCUGGUGGUCGGGGUUUGAAGAGUGGAGAGAACUUUAAGUUGUUAUAUGACUUGGCAGAUCAACUACAUGCUGCAGUUGGUGCUUCUCGUGCUGCUGUUGAUGCUGGCUUUGUUCCCAAUGACAUGCAAGUUGGACAAACAGGAAAAAUAGUAGCACCAGAACUUUAUAUUGCCGUAGGAAUAUCCGGAGCCAUCCAACAUUUAGCUGGGAUGAAAGACAGCAAGACCAUUGUAGCCAUUAACAAAGACCCAGAAGCUCCAAUUUUCCAAGUGGCAGAUUAUGGAAUAGUUGCAGAUUUAUUUAAGAUGAAGUGCAGUAAAAAGAACCACACCUUUUGACGGACUCUAGGAAACUAGACAAUACCCAUCAAACCAUUUUCUCAGCUGAAAUCGGAACUAGGGAGCUGUUACUCUGACACACACGGAGUCGCCUUGAGUUGGAAUUGACCCAACGGCAACUCGUAAAAGAUGAAUGUUACAACAAUGCAGACGGACUGGAUGAUUUAAUGAGUAUGCUUCUCACUGGGGCCGCCCCUCUCUUUUAAAAUCCAAUGCUUGAAGGUAGUUCCUGAAAUGACUGAGCUAUUGAAGAAAAAAUGAAUAAUGACCAUGUCUUAAGAAGGAAAACUGUCAAAGUAUUCAGCUGGAAUCAUGGAAAUUCAUGGAUAUUCUAACACGUAUUGGAGAACUUGGAGAGCUAAAUUCUCAUAAUUCGGGGGAAAAAAAUCUAAGACAUACCAGAAUGCUUUUUUAUGGGACUGUUAUAUUUCUUUUUAAUUAUUUUUGGUUCCAAACAAUUAUUUUUUGAAAUUUUCUAAUUCUGUAAUAAAAUAUAUAAUAAAGCCUUUCCACCGCUUUAAAACUAUCACCAGAAAUAUGCCUAUCUUCUUAAAGAGAAAAAAUUAAAGAACAGGAGUAAAAAUUAUUCUUUUUGCCUGUCUUGUUCAUGGAGGGCUCUAUGUUGUAGGAGAAAUUGUAAAGAUGAAUGUUCCCGC